UACGUAGGGUGCAAGCGUUAAUCGGAAUUACUGGGCGUAAAGCGUGCGCAGGCGGCUUUGCAAGACAGAUGUGAAAUCCCCGGGCUUAACCUGGGAACUGCAUUUGUGACUGCAUGGCUGGAGUGCGGCAGAGGGGGAUGGAAUUCCGCGUGUAGCAGUGAAAUGCGUAGAUAUGCGGAGGAACACCGAUGGCGAAGGCAAUCCCUUGGGCCUGCACUGACGCUCAUGCACGAAAGCGUGGGGAGCAAACAGG
rnacentral:rRNA from 1 species